UACCAGAAAGUGUACUUUCAUCAAAGAAGC
rnacentral:piRNA from 1 species